UCUGCCCAACUCUUCAGGAAUUUGUAGUUUCUAUUUCUGUUCAGAUAAUUGAUCUGGAUUUCUAUGAUCUCUCUCUGUUCCAUUCUGGUGGUUUCUCUGAAGUUGCUCUUUCUUUGGCCGUACAGAGAUAGGCCUGACAGGUACCAAGCUAGGCUGUGGUCAAGGUGGCUGUGGGGCAUGCACUGUCAUGGUUUCUUAUUAUGAUCAGAAUUCAAAGAAAUGCGUGCACCAUGCAAUAAAUGCAUGCUUGGCUCCUCUAUAUUCUGUGGAAGGGAUGCAUGUCAUCACAGUGGAGGGAAUCGGGAGCAACAAAGCUGGAUUGCAUCCAAUUCAGGAAUCAUUGGCUCGCUUGCAUCGCUCACAAUGUGGAUUCUGUACUCCUGGUUUCUUGAUGUCCAUGUAUGCAUUGCUACGAUCAUCUAAAGAACCGCCUACAGAAGAGCAAAUUGAAGAAAACCUUGCAGGAAAUUUAUGUCGAUGUACUGGUUAUAGGCCGAUUAUUGAUGCAUUUUGAGUAUUCGCAAAAACUAACAAUGUGUUGUACACCAAAAUAUCUUUACAAGGCAUUAGCACUGGUGAGUUUAUCUGUCCUUCAACGGGUAAGCCUUGUUCAUGUGGGCCGCAGGCUGGAAGUAGUGAAGUAGAAAGCAUCGAGAAAAAAUUAAGCAAUUGCUGUGGCUGGAAGCCAUUUCACAAUGAGACUGAUGGAACCACAUACACCAGCAAAGAACUUAUUUUCCCUCCUGAACUUUUAUUAAGGAAAUUGACUUAUUUAAGUUUGAGUGGAUCAAAUGGACUAAAGUGGCACAGGCCUUUAAAACUUCAACAUGUGUUGGAUCUAAAAGCAAGAUUUCCAGAUGCCAAGUUAGUUGUUGGAAAUACAGAGGUGGGAAUUGAAGUCAGGCUUAAAAGAAUUCACUGUCCUGUAUUAAUAUCUGUUGCACAUGUUCCUGAACUUAACCAUAUAAGAGUUGAGGAUUGCAGCUUAGAAAUAGGUGCUGCAGUGAAAUUGUCACGGCUCGUGCAUGUAUUAAAGAAGGUAAGAGACAAGCGUCCUGAGUAUGAAACAUCAUCAUGUCGAGCUCUCAUUGACCGGAUAAAGUGGUUUGGUGGAAUACAAAUACGGAACGUUGCAUCGGUUGGCGGGAACAUCUGCACUGCAAGCCCAAUAUCGGAUUUGAACCCUCUUUGGAUAGCAGCAGGAGCAAAGUUUUGUAUAAUGGACUGCGAAGGAAAUGUCAGAACAUGUUUGGCUAAAAAUUUCUUCAAGGGCGAUUCUAAAGUGGAUCUCAGAAGUAGUGAAAUUUUACUGUCAGUAUCAUUGCCUUGGAACAGGCAAUUUGAAUUUGUGAAAGAAUUUAAGCAAUCUCAUAGAAGAGAUGAUGAUUUUGCCAUCGUGAAUGCUGGGAUGCGUGUCUGCCUUGAAGAGAAGCACCGGAAAUGGGUAGUUUCAGAUGCUUUGAUUGUGUAUGGUGGGGUCGCUCCAUUUUCAUUUGCUGCAUCAAAAACUAGUCAUUUUUUAGUCGGGAAAAAUUGGAACAAGGAGCUGUUGCAUGGUGCUUUGAAAAUGUUAGGGGAGGAAAUUGUGCUGAAGGAAGAUGCACCGGGUGGGAUGGUUGAAUUCCGAAAAUCAUUAACGUUUAGUUUCUUCUUCAAAUUUUUCUUGUGGGUUUGUCAUCAAAUGGAUGGACAACCAUCAUUUAUUGAGAAAGUUCCAGCUUUACAUAUUUCAGCUGUAGAUUCACCUCUUCGACCAUACGUUGGUUCAGUUCAGGAUUUUGAGAUUAAGAAGCAGGGUAAUUCUGUGGGUUCCCCUGAGGCUCAUCUUUCAUCAAGGCUUCAGGUAUCUGGAGAAGCAGAAUAUCUUGAUGAUGGGCCAAUGCCACCCAAUUUUUUGCAUGCUUCUUUGGUAUUAAGCGAAAAACCUCAUGCUCAUAUACUUUCAAUAGACGAUUCGGGUGCCAAGUCCUCUCCUGGAUUUGCUGGAAUAUUUUUGGCUAAAGACGUACCUAGUAACAACAAAAUUGGAGCAAUUGUUGCUGAUGAAGAAGUUUUUGCCACAGAGUUUGUCACUUGUGUGGGUCAGGUUAUCGGAGUUGUUGUAGCUGACACACAUGAAAAUGCAAAACUUGCUGCUAGAAAAGUUCAAGUUGAGUAUGAAGAGCUACCUGCAGUUUUAUCAAUAGAGGAUGCAAUACAGGCUAACAGUUAUCAUCCUAAUGCGGAAAGGCAUCUGAAUAUGGGUGAUGUUGAACAGUGUUUUCAAUCAGGUCAAUGUGACCAUAUUAUAGAAGAAGAAGUUAGGGUAGCUGGUCAGGAACAUUUUUAUUUGGAGCCUCAGGGCACUUUAAUAUGGACAGUGGAUAGUGGGAAUGAGGUGCACAUGCUCUCAUCUACCCAGGCUCCUCAGAAGCACCAGGAGUAUGUUUCUCACGUUCUUGGUCUUCCGAUGUCAAAAGUGGUUUGCAAGACUAAAAGGAUAGGUGGUGGAUUUGGAGGCAAGGAGAGCAGAUCUGCUUUCCUUGCUGCUGCAGUUGCUGUUCCAUCAUACCUGUUGGAUCGUCCAGUGAAACUCAUUCUGGAUAGGGAUAUAGACAUGAAGAUAACUGCGCAGCGGCAUAGCUUUUUCGGAAAGUACAAGGUUGGUUUUACAAAUGAGGGGAAGGUGCUUGCCUUUGAUCUUAGUAUCUACAAUAAUGGUGGAAAUUCUCUAGAUCUAUCACUUAAUGUACUUGAAGGUGCUAUGCUCCAAGGGAACAAUGCGUAUGACAUACCAAAUAUGAGGGUUUAUGGAAAUGUCUGCUUCACUAAUCUUCCUAGUAAUACAGCUUUUAGAGGAUUCGGGGCCCCACAGGUUAUGCUAAUGGUUGAGAAUUGGAUAGAGAGGAUUGGCAUGGAAGUUAACAAAAUCCCUGAAGAAAUAAGGGAAAUGAAUUUUGUCAGUAAAGGAUCAAUCUUAUAUUAUGGUCAGAAAGUUGAAGACUGCACCUUGGGGAGAGUCUGGAAUGAAGUGAAAUCUUCUUGUGACUUCAUUAAUGCUCAAAAAGAAGUUGAAAAUUUCAAUCGACAUAAUCGAUGGAAAAAGCAAGGUAUUGCCAUGGUGCCAACCAACCUUGGGAUAUCUUUCACAACGAAGUUUGUUAACCAGGCAGGUGCUCUUGUUCAAGUUUACACAGAUGGAACUGUGUUAGUCACUCAUGGGGGUGUGGAGAUGGGCCAAGGUUUGCAUACAAAGCUUGCCCAGAUUGCUGCAUCUUCCUUUAAUAUCCCUCUAAAUGCAGUGUUCAUUUCAGAGACAAGUACUGACAAGGUUCCAAAUGCCUCGGCAACAGCUGCUUCUGUAAGUUCUGACCUGUAUGGAGCUGCAGUACUGGAUGCAUGUGAGCAACUAAAAGCACGGAUGGAACCUAUUGCAUCCAAGAAUAACUUCAGCUCUUUUGCAGAGCCUGUCAGUGCGUGCUACAUGGAAAGGAUAGACCUUUCUGCUCAUGGGUUCUUCGUUACACCUGAUAUUGGCUUUGAUUGGAAAUCUGGAAAAGGCAAUGUAUUUAGGGACUACACCAGUGGUGCUUCAUUUUCCGAAGUUGAAAUCGACACAUUGACAGGCGAUUUCCAUACUAGGCGAGCAGAUCUUCUCGUAGAUGUUGGGUUCUCCCUCAAUCCAGCGAUUGAUGUUGGACAGGUAGAAGGAGGUUUUCUACAGGGUCUGGGAUGGUUUGCAUUAGAAGAGCUGAAAUGGGGCGAUAAAGCACACAAGUGGAUUUCACCUGGAUACUUAUUCACAUCUGGACCUGGAAGUUACAAGAUUCCAACUUUGAAUGAUGUGCCUUCCAAAUUUAAUGUCUCUCUUUUGAAAAAUGCCCCAAACGCCAAGGCUAUCCAUUUUUCUAAAGCAGUAGGGGAACCACCCUUCUUCUUGCAUCAUCUGUCUUUUUCGCCAUCAAGAAUGCCAUAAAAUCUGCAAGGAUGGAAGCUGGUUACAACAACUGGUUCCCUCUUGAUAAUCCAGCCACUCCAGAGCGUAUUCGAAUGGCUUGCACCAAUGAAUUUACAAGACUAGUUGUGGAUUCUGAUUUUCGCCCAAAACUAAGUGUUUGAUGGUUGUACUGUACUGAAUAAGUGAAGUUCUUAGAGCUUCAUAUGAUGUCUUCUUUACAUUUUCCCGUGACAUUAUGCAACACUUCAUAAUAACGUGUAAUAAAGAUGCUUCGUUAUUGUUUCGAGCACUUAUAAUAUAUGAAUGGAAGAAAAUGACCCUAC